GUAGGGAAUUUUGCACAAUGGACGAAAGUCUGAUGCAGCAACGCCGCGUGUGUGAAGAAGGCCUUUGGGUUGUAAAGCACUUUCGACAGGGAAGAAGGGUGUCGUCUCGAACAGAAGCGAUAUCUGACGGUACCUGCAGAAGAAGCACCGGCUAACUCCGUGCCAGCAGCCGCGGUAAUACGGAGGGUGCAAGCGUUGUUCGGAAUUACUGGGCGUAAAGCGCGCGUAGGCGGGCAUUCAAGUCGAUUGUGAAAUCCCGGAGCUUAACUCCGGACGUGCAGUCGAUACUGUUUGUCUUGAAUACCUAAGAGGAUGGCGGUAUUCCCGGUGUAGGAGUGAAAUCCGUAGAGAUCGGGAGGAAUAUCUGAGGCGAAGGCGGCCAUCUGGUGGUGUAUUGACGCUGAAGUGCGAAAGCGUGGGGAGCAAACAGGAUUAGAUACCCUAGUAGUCC
rnacentral:rRNA from 1 species